rnacentral:rRNA from 1 species
AUUGAACGCUGGCGGCGUGCUUAACACAUGCAAGUCGAUCGGUAACAGGUGUAGCAAUACUUGCUGACGAGAGGCGGACGGGUGAGGAACGCUUGGGAAUCUGCCUAUCAGCGGGGGACAACCCGGGGAAACUCGGGCUAAUACCGCAUACGCUCUACGGAGGAAAGCCGGGGACCGCAAGGCCUGGCACUGAUAGAUGAGCCCAAGUCGGAUUAGCUAGUUGGCGGGGUAACGGCCCACCAAGGCGACGAUCCGUAGCUGGUCUGAGAGGACGAUCAGCCACACCGGAACUGAGACACGGUCCGGACUCCUACGGGAGGCAGCAGUGGGGAAUAUUGGACAAUGGGCGAAAGCCUGAUCCAGCGACGCCGCGUGGGUGAAGAAGGCCUGCGGGUUGUAAAGCCCUUUCGGUAGGGACGAAAGCUCUUGCCCUAACAAGGCAGGAGGUUGACUUAACCUACAUAAGAAGCACCGGCUAACUCUGUGCCAGCCGCCGCCGUAAAAC